rnacentral:lncRNA from 1 species
AAAUACUCUCAAGCAAAAACUCACUACUACCCUUAUUCAUUCCACAUAAACCACUAUAUAUCUCCAUUCCUUCAUCCUCUUCAACUCCACAACCAUCCAAACCACUUGACACAAAUAUGGUCAUUGUUUCGACUGAAUAUGCUGUGCAACCAUCUAAACCUCUUCCCACGUCCUAUCUUCAUACCCUACUCUCACAUAAUAUACCAACUCCAAUUUCAUCCUUAGAUGAUCUUGUUGCUUCUCCACAUGUUAUUAACACAGAAGUGUGAUGCACCCGCUGACCCUAAUAUCUUCAUUCCACUUUUCCGGGAUAAGAAGGAAAGAAUUUAUAAACAAUGGCAACAUGCUGUUAUUGUAAAGAUAUAUGGUCAGAAAAUUGGACAUCAAUUAAUGAGGCAAAAAAUC